AUUGAACGCUGGCGGCAUGCCUUACACAUGCAAGUCGAACGGCAGCACGGGAGCAAUCCUGGUGGCGAGUGGCGAACGGGUGAGUAAUAUAUCGGAACGUGCCCAGUCGUGGGGGAUAACGUAGCGAAAGCUACGCUAAUACCGCAUACGAUCUAUGGAUGAAAGCGGGGGAUCGCAAGACCUCGCGCGAUUGGAGCGGCCGAUAUCAGAUUAGGUAGUUGGUGGGGUAAAAGCUUACCAAGCCGACGAUCUGUAGCUGGUCUGAGAGGACUAUCAGCCACACUGGGGCUGAGAGACGGCCCAGACUCCUACGGGAGGCAGCAGUGGGGAAUUUUGGACAAUGGGCACAAGCCUGAUCCAGCAAUGCCGCGGGCAGGAUGAGGGACUUCGGGUGGUAAACUGCUUUUGUACGGAGCGAAAAGCCCUGGGUUAAUACCCUGAGGUCAUGACGGUACCGUAAGAAUAAGCACCGGCUAACUACGUGCCAGCCGCCGCGGUAACAC
rnacentral:rRNA from 1 species